rnacentral:rRNA from 1 species
CCUAAUACAUGCAAGUCGAGCGAACAGACGAGGAGCUUGCUCCUCUGACGUUAGCGGCGGACGGGUGAGUAACACGUGGAUAACCUACCUAUAAGACUGGGAUAACUUCGGGAAACCGGAGCUAAUACCGGAUAACAUGUUGAACCGCAUGGUUCAACAGUGAAAGACGGUCUUGCUGUCACUUAUAGAUGGAUCCGCGCCGCAUUAGCUAGUUGGUAAGGUAACGGCUUACCAAGGCAACGAUGCGUAGCCGACCUGAGAGGGUGAUCGGCCACACUGGAACUGAGACACGGUCCAGACUCCUACGGGAGGCAGCAGUAGGGAAUCUUCCGCAAUGGGCGAAAGCCUGACGGAGCAACGCCGCGUGAGUGAAGAAGGUCUUCGGAUCGUAAAACUCUGUUAUUAGGGAAGAACAAAUGUGUAAGUAACUAUGCACGUCUUGACGGUACCUAAUCAGAAAGCCACGGCUAACUACGUGCCAGCAGCCGCGGUAAUACGUAGGUGGCAAGCGUUAUCCGGAAUUAUUGGGCGUAAAGCGCGCGUAGGCGGUUUUUUAAGUCUGAUGUGAAAGCCCACGGCUCAACCGUGGAGGGUCAUUGGAAACUGGAAAACUUGAGUGCAGAAGAGGAAAGUGGAAUUCCAUGUGUAGCGGUGAAAUGCGCAGAGAUAUGGAGGAACACCAGUGGCGAAGGCGACUUUCUGGUCUGUAACUGACGCUGAUGUGCGAAAGCGUGGGGAUCAAACAGGAUUAGAUACCCUGGUAGUCCACGCCGUAAACGAUGAGUGCUAAGUGUUAGGGGGUUUCCGCCCCUUAGUGCUGCAGCUAACG